rnacentral:lncRNA from 1 species
UUUUCCUUUCAUUACCCAAAAUGCACAGAGAAAUGAUAAAUCUUUCACUCUUUCUCCAUCUUCCUUAUCUACUCUAUACCCAAAAUCAAAACUCUAAUCCACUAUAUCUGACCAUCCGCCUGCACUCAAAGGAUUCAUCCUAUUUUCAGCCUUUCCAAUCCGCUACUUCAACAAAUUAGCGAAAAUCAGUUCCUAAAUAGUGAUAUAAUGAAAUUCGAUUUCAAAUCCACGUUAAAGACACAAAAAUCAUCUAAAAUCGUGAAGUGAGUUGUCUCUUUUAACUUUUUGAAUUUCAAAUACAUCCCUUUGAUUUGGCCGUUGGUUUCCUUGAAUUUUUGAUUUCAAAUUUGGACUUUCAAGUCCAAAUUUGCAUAUAAAUACCAACAUUUUUACCUAUUUCGAAGAGGGGGAGAAGUUUUUUGGAAGGAGAGAACAAGUUCAAAAAUAUAGAGUGAACACUACGAAUCGGCAUAGUAAGGUCACAAAAUUAUUAUUUCUCUUUGUUGUUUUCGGUCUAAGGUCGAUUCCUCGAAGUUUGAGUUAUUCAUAUGAAUCUUGACACUGAAGCCCCAGGCUUGCUUCCCAACACAAGGUAAGCUUUCGUCUUCUUUCUUCCUUGUAUUUCUCUUUUGUGCUUGAAAUGGCUGUGUGAAUUAAUUCCUACUCCAUUUUCACUUCUUUAUUGUUGUGUAUUAGCAAUAUAGAUUUAUCUUUAUUGUCUACUAUUCUGGAUACGUGGCUGUAUAAAGAACCAACAUUUUUACCUAUUUCGAAGAGGGGGAGAAGUUUUUUGGAAGGAGAGAACAAGUUCAAAAAUAUAGAGUGAACACUACGAAUCGGCAUAGUAAGGUCACAAAAUUAUUAUUUCUCUUUGUUGUUUUCGGUCUAAGGUCGAUUCCUCGAAGUUUGAGUUAUUCAUAUGAAUCUUGACACUGAAGCCCCAGGCUUGCUUCCCAACACAAGGUAAGCUUUCGUCUUCUUUCUUCCUUGUAUUUCUCUUUUGUGCUUGAAAUGGCUGUGUGAAUUAAUUCCUACUCCAUUUUCACUUCUUUAUUGUUGUGUAUUAGCAAUAUAGAUUUAUCUUUAUUGUCUACUAUUCUGGAUACGUGGCUGUAUAAAGAAUAAGAUAUGUGGUAGAAACUCUAUUUUCUAUUGAUCCUAAAUUUAGAACCUUGGUUGCAUUGUGUUCACAUCAUCCUUUCGAUUUGGAAUGAACAACGUUUUGCAAGAAACUUGUUAGUUUUGGCCAUGGUAUGGUUCGAUUUCGAAUCGAAAGAUUGUUUUUCCCUCAUAUUUUCUUGACAUUCUUGUGAGAAUGAGUAUUGUUUGAUGAAACAGUGGCUUGAAAAUGUCAAAACUUGGCAUAGCACGAACAGGCCGCUAAAUAAUCUGAUCUGUAUUUUCAAUAUCCCUCUACUAUCUCAUCUCCCUCUAUCUAAAGUAUGAACCUGUGCAUGUGGCGGUUGUAUGCAUUUUAUUUUUAGCUAAAUAUUCUUUCAAAAUAAUAAAUAAAGACGACAUUGAGAUAUGUUUUACAAAAUACGUUGAAAGCUUUGAUUUGGAAUGUUCACAGAAUGAAAUAGUAUCUUUGAAUCUUUAUUUGUCUGCCUUUGUAGUAUGUUAAAGAGUUUUUUUCCAUCUUGUGUGGAAUUAUUGUAUGAACUAUCGUAUGUAUUAGACUUCUAAAAAAUGGUUGGCUAGCCCUGUGUGUGAUUCCUUAAGAAGAAUUUAAUUGUACGCAUUAACAUAUUGGGGCUGAUAAGAUUUUUCUACUUACUAAUAUAGUUGAAAGUAUCAAAGUAUCAUUCAAUUAGAAUCUCGUCCCAUUUGUAAUUUUACUGUUGAAAGGUCACGAUAUUAUUUUGCUUAGAAAGAGUGAUUAGCUAGUUUGUGGCUUAUCCAAAUUAGAAUUUUUUUUAGAAAUAAGUUAGCCUUUAUCUGGUUGCACUCUCGUUUUUGCCUUAGCCAAAAAGGAUGACUUUCUUAAAGUAUUAUAUCCAUGGAAUUUAAAACACAUGCUUUGCUAAAUGAAAUGCUCAUUCAACAUAUUUUCUCCCUUAAUUUGUAUUUUCCCCUGUACUCCUUAUUUGAUCAAAUACUAAUCCUUAUCAUUUUUCUUUAUUUCAUGUAAUCUGGGGUUUCGGAGUUUUGAAGGAAGCUCCAUUUUUUGACCCAAAGAUCGGGUUGGGUCAACAGCUAUAGGAUCACAGAGCUUGGGGCCUAAACCACUAGGAGUUGAGUCCUUCGAUAGGAAUUUAUCGUAUCAAGUUCUCCGCCUUCUUCUCUACUUUAUUUUUCGUAUUUAUUUCACUAACGUUGUAUUUCUUUGAAUAUCUCGAUUGAGUAGUUUUACUUUGUUUAAUUUUGUUUAGCUCAAAAGAUCUCUUGGUUUGCUUCGGUUAAUCUUUCACUCAUCCAACGUAUGUAGGUAUAGUAAUGUCAUGUGAUUUAACCAUUUGUUCACUUCACACUUGCAAAUAAACCUUCUAAAGUAAAAGAGGUAAAUUUUGAUCUUUAAUUACAGUCUCAAAUAAAACACAUUUCUUUUGGAAUUGAUUAAAAUGGUUAACAAUUGUUUUCGUUUUCAAAAAAAAAAAUGUUAAACAACUGUCUUUUUAUCACCUUAAAUGGACUUUUUCAAAUAAAUCACUAUAAAUAGGUUUCAAUUAGUUUAUCUGUUUAUGUUUGCAAGUAACUCAUCUCCCAAAUUAAAUUCUUUUAAUUAACUCAAUAUAAUUUAAGUACUUAUUAUAUUUCAUAUUAAUUUCUAACUUUGUUUCAAAGUUUUCUUUUUCUUUAUUUUUUAAAAGUUUUUGAAAUGCAAGGUAUAUGUUUAUUCUUACGUCU